UGAGGAUACCAAGGUUCAGAGAGGAGUUGCCUGGUGGCUUAGCAGUUAAGGACUGGACAUUGACACUGUUAUGCUUUGUGUUACUGCUGUGGCUCACUUUUGAUCCCCGGCCUGGGAACUUCUGCAUGCCACAGGGAGAAUGAACUUCGUGCUGAAGAGGAAAAAAGAAAAAUGCUUUUCAUGCUGUAAAGGAGAGAAAAACAGUCCAGGAAAUAGAAACUCCCACCAUCCAGCCUCCCAUCUUGUACUUGAGUCUCUUCUUGCAUCAGCCCCAGCAAAUAAAACGAUCAGUAAAGUGUAAAUGAUGUACUGGGCCUCAUGAAUUCAACUCUACAAGCACAGAAUGGAGGAGACAUGAUUUCACAGUGGUCCCUGUGAAAAGGUGUGAAGGGCUGGUCUGCUAGGACGCACCUAGUGAAUCAUCAGGGUGAGUGAGUCACUGACUUCUUCCCAAAUGAACACGAUCUGGGCUAUGGAUCAGUGCCCAGAACAAAGAAGAGCAAGAGUCACACUGCACUCCAAUGUGACUGAAAUCGGGUGCUUCUGGACCCUCAUCCUAAGAAAGCACUGUCAGUGUGAGCAAACCCAGGAUAAUUAGGCUGGAAUGGUGCAUUUAAGUCCAAUGGAAAGUGGUUGAAAGAAAUAUGAUAUAGAAACCAGGCUACCUGUAGCUAUAUAAUUAGCGCUUGUUAAAGUAUAUGACCUGAUGGACAGACACUAUCCUAAAUACUGCACAACCUGAAUUCAUGUAAUCUUCACAAUAAUCUUUGACAUAGGUACUGUUAUUA